rfam:Gemmatimonas aurantiaca T-27 DNA, complete genome.
GGGGGUGACUGGCUUCGACGGGGUUGGUGAAUCUCUGGUAGCGUGCCCAGGUCCUCGAGCACCUGGUAAAACACUCGGGAAAAUUCCAAUCGCGAACAACAACCUCGCGCUCGCUGCCUAACCUCCGGGUUACGUAGCAGUGCUCACGCGGCAGCCCGCCCGGGGCGGCACGUGAGUAUCGCAAAUCUGGGCUAGUCUCCGUGUGCGCCUUCGGCACAGAGGCGAAACUUUAGAAGGCUUGUCCUGACGUGGGCUUCCCAUUGGCCAGCUGAAGGAGACCUCAAUCAAUGGGAUACGCACGUAGAAACUGGGGUGGAUCUAGUCUCGGACAGGGGUUCGAUUCCCCUCACCUCCACUC